GCCAUAUAUAAAGAUGUUUAUAUGAGUUUUCUGUCAUGUAUGGUCUUGGAACUAUUUUUGCCUUUAUGAAAGGAAAUAUCGAUUCGGAUUUUAAUGUGGAAGAUGCUUUUUGAAAUAGUCGUAGCUAACGGAUGACUAGAUGAUUUAUUUACGAAUGUAUGAACACAUGUUUUGAUUGCAGUCAUUGAAAACUGGAUUUUUUUUUUAGAAACUUUAGUCUCAAUUCAAUGCAAAAUUGAUUCAAGGGGGAAAUAAAUUCAGAAUAUAACUUCAGAAAUAUAAAUUGGAAUAUUGUCUUUAGUUCGAUGACACUAUUUGCACCAUGAACAAUAAUGAGUCUGUUUGGUCUGACGAAGCUCAUUCGACUUUUUUUCAAAUUUAGUUUUAGAUUAAAUUUUCAAUGUCAUUUACAUAAAUCGCUAACAUUGUAAGAGAAAUUGAUAAUAAAAAAUACAAAACUUU